GCUCACCAAGGCAACGACGGGUAGCUGGUCUGAGAGGAUGGCCAGCCACAUUGGGACUGAGAUACGGCCCAGACUCCUACGGGAGGCAGCAGUGGGGAAUCUUGCGCAAUGGCCUAACGGCUGACGCAGCGACGCCGCGUGUGGGAUGAAGCUCUUCGGAGUGUAAACCACUGUUGCCCGGGACGAACAGCUCGAAUUCUCGAGCCUGACGGUACCGGGUGAGGAAGCACCGGCUAACUCCGUGCCAGCAGCCGCGGUAAUACGGGGGGUGCGAGCGUUGUCCGGAAUCACUGGGCGUAAAGGGCGCGUAGGUGGUUUGAUAAGGGUGUGGUGAAAGUCCGGGGCUCAACCCCGGAUCUGCCGUGCCGACUGUCAAACUCGAGGGCUGUAGAGGCAGGCGGAAUUCCGGGUGUAGCGGUGGAAUGCGUAGAGAUCCGGAGGAAGACCGGUGGCGAAGGCGGCCUGCUGGGCAGUUUCUGACACUGAUGCGCGACAGCGUGGGGAGCAAACAGGAUUAGAUACCCUGGUAGUCCACGCCGUAAACGAUGGGUACUAGGUGCCUGGGGGAGCGACCCUCUGGGUGCCGGCGCUAACGCAGGAAGUACCCCGCCUGGGGAGUACGACCGCAAGGUUGAAACUCAAAGGAAUUGACG
rnacentral:rRNA from 1 species